GUUUAACCUGCCCACUGAAAUUAUUUAAAUGGCCGCAGUAUACUAACUGUGCAAAGGUAGCAUAAUCAUUAGUCUUUUAAUUGAAGGCUGGUAUGAAUGGUUGGACGAGAUAUUAACUGUUUCAUAAAAAUUUUUUUUAGAAUUUUAUUUUUUAGUUAAAAAGCUAAAAUGUAAUUAAAAGACGAGAAGACCCUAUAAAUCUUUAUAUUUAAUUUAUUAUAAUUUUAUAGAUUAAUUUUAGUUAUAUUAAUUAAUAAUAUUUUAUUGGGGUGAUAUUAAAAUUUGAUAAACUUUUAAUUGUUUAUAUCAUUAAUUUAUGAAUAAUUGAUCCAUUAAUAGUGAUUAAAAAAACAAGUUACUUUAGGGAUAACAGCGUAAUUUUUUUGGAGAGUUCAUAUCGAUAAAAAAGAUUGCGACCUCGAUGUUGGAUUAAGAUAUAAUUUUAGGUGUAGCUGCUUAAAUUUUAAGUCUGUUCGACUUU
rnacentral:rRNA from 1 species